rnacentral:rRNA from 1 species
GAAGUAAAAAUCGUAACAAGGUCUCCGUUGGUGAACCAGCGGAGGGAUCAUUACCGAGUUUACAACUCCCAAACCCCUGUGAACAUACCACUUGUUGCCUCGGCGGAUCAGCCCGCUCCCGGUAAAACGGGACGGCCCGCCAGAGGACCCCUAAACUCUGUUUCUAUAUGUAACUUCUGAGUAAAACCAUAAAUAAAUCAAAACUUUCAACAACGGAUCUCUUGGUUCUGGCAUCGAUGAAGAACGCAGCAAAAUGCGAUAAGUAAUGUGAAUUGCAGAAUUCAGUGAAUCAUCGAAUCUUUGAACGCACAUUGCGCCCGCCAGUAUUCUGGCGGGCAUGCCUGUUCGAGCGUCAUUUCAACCCUCAAGCACAGCUUGGUGUUGGGACUCGCGUUAAUUCGCGUUCCCCAAAUUGAUUGGCGGUCACGUCGAGCUUCCAUAGCGUAGUAGUAAAACCCUCGUUACUGGUAAUCGUCGCGGCCACGCCGUUAAACCCCAACUUCUGAAUGUUGACCUCGGAUCAGGUAGGAAUACCCGCUGAACUUAAGCAUAUC